GGUUGGUCAUCAUUACCUUGUUGAUGCCCAUACAAGCUACAUGUGACUGACAAUUGUUUCUCUCUUCAUUAUUAUUUACAGUUUAACGCCCAUCCCACCCAGGGAGGGGUAACAUUU